rnacentral:rRNA from 1 species
CUACGGGUGGCUGCAGUGAGGAAUUUUGCGCAAUGGGGGAAACCCUGACGCAGCAACGCCGCGUGAGUGAAGAAGGCCCUUGGGUCGUAAAGCUCUGUCAAUGGGGAAGAAGUUGCUUGGUAUUAAUAGUGCCUUGUAUUGACGGUACCCAUGAAGGAAGCACCGGCUAACUCCGUGCCAGCAGCCGCGGUAAUACGGGGGGUGCAAGCGUGAUUCGGAAUUAUUGGGCGUAAAGGGCACGCAGGCGGUCCUGUCAGUCAGAUGUGAAAGCCCGGGGCUCAACCCCGGACGUGCAUUUGAAACAGCAGGACUUGAGUACGGGAGAGGAAAGGGGAAUUCCUGGUGUAGAGGUGAAAUUCGUAGAUAUCAGGAGGAACACCGGUGGCGAAGGCCCCUUUCUGGACCGAUACUGACGCUGAGGUGCGAAGGCGUGGGUAGCGAACGGGAUUAGAUACCCCCGUAGUC